GUCGUCGGUUCGAUCCCGACCCUGACGACUGCUGUAUAUUUGGAGUUUGCGUGUCUCGCUCUCUCUCUCUCCCCGUGAUCGCGUGGAUUUUUCUCUGGGUCUUCCAAUUUUUUCCCCGCUCCACAUUUCGAAUCAACGCGCGUUGAGAAUAUUUGGCUGCCACUGCACUCUUCCACGUGAUGAUAAGCCACUUCUUUGAGCUAUUAUUUGUUUAGCCAAGUCGCUUCUGAAAAAAAUAAUAAAAGAAAAACAGUUCAGCUUUUAGUUUAAAUCUGGCCGAGCCUGUGUGGCAAGGGCCCUCACAGGCAAGCCGGACCUGGCACGCGUUAUUCAGCGUUUGGCUGCUGUUGGAUGGUUUUUGUGUGUGUGCGGUGUUGCCAUCGUCACCGUGGCCGCGUUAUUCUGGGAAGCCGCACGCGAGCGCAAAAUUCACCGUGACAAUUUAAGGUCAUUCGGAUUCCCGUUGGGGACCCUUUGAAGUCGAGCCAACACUUGUACCAAGCCUCAGCAGCGCAGUGCCCCGUUUCCUGUCUGCGCCCCACCGGCACUGGCAAGCUGGUGGAGUUGUGGGUGCCGGGCACACUCACAAAGGCCUCAAAGGAUGUCUGAAAGAACUGUUGCGUUGAAUAGCUCCGGCGUAGAACAUUCCAGAUCACAAACGCAACGCGACACGCACCACCACUGUCGUAUUGUGUGGCUCUGAGAUGAUAAUAAUAAUAAUAAGAUAAAGUUUGUCAUUUAUUUAACCAGAAACGCGAUAUUUUUUGGCCAAUUACAGUCUGUUCUCCUAAAUGCUGCGUGUUGUUUUCAUAACGAGCAGUGGAUACAACGCGAUGAAUGUAUUAGGGAACGCAUUUUUUUAACGCGGAUGCGAAUUGGAUUUAACGCGAUCGAGUGAACGGAACGACGUCGCGCGAGUCGGACUAAGCGGCCGUACGCCUGCCUCGGCAUAGCAUCAUCGCACAAGGCAGUGGGAUGCUGCUGGAUGUUUCCAGACGCCACCCACGCGCCCUCAGUCUUUGUUCAGCCCGCGAACGCGUCUCACGUGUUAUCACGGACUGUGCUUUACCCCCUAUAUUGUUUAUUAUUCAUUAUAACGCGAUUUUCCCAAACGCGGCCUUCUGCAGGGACGCCACCACCACGUUAGAGGAGAACGGGCUGCAUUUAAAAUCGUGAUUUGUGUGAGGGAAUGCAUGAAGAGUACCCGCAGGAGAGCCACGGCCCGCCACAGACGGGCUCACGAACCCGCUUGCUGUACUGCUGCCUCCUGGCCUCCUCGCAGACACAUUUGAGUGUCGCGCAAAUCUGAUCCGAAGCGAUCGGCUCCAAAGCGCCGCGCUACGGCCUCUCGCCCAGCCUGCGGUAUUUUAUCACCUGAAGAUGAUUGUUUGUGUUGCGAUCGAAACGUCGUGAUUUUAUUUUUCUAGCUACGAGUAUUCAUGUUUGUUGUUUAUGAGUUCCAGGGGGGUCUUGGGUUCACUAAGCUGAUGCCCUCAGGACGGUUACCCACGGCGCACGGUAUCCAAAUGGCUCUCUUUACGUCUCAACAAACUCCAGCAACACCCACACGGCCAUGGCGAACUCGACAGAGGAAGCCAGCAUCACGGGGCGCAGUCGGGGAUCACGCGCACGCCACUGCAGCAUCGGCAGUUCUGAAGGAAGAGAACCACUCCAUGAUCACAGGACGGCUGGAUGGACUUGGUGUAAAGAAGCUGAUGCUUUGUUUAUUACACUUAUUCUUCUUUAGUGCUGCCUAACGGCGUGUGCGACUUCACGAUGAUAUUGGUCCCGGUCUAGCACGGCGUGUAGAGUUUGUGCUGUUGUUAAUUAGCCAUGUUUUGAUGUUACUGAGCCAUGUCGUUUUUGGCCGUCCUGGUCGUUUUUUACCUUCGAUUUUUCCUUCCAGGAUUUGCUUUAAUAGCUGGUAUUUGUGGUCGUUUCGGGCAAUGUGGCCUAGGUAGUAACACUUCCUGCUAAUGAUGGUCUUCAGCAGUUGCCUGUCAGUGCCCAUAUCUUGCAGAACUUGUGUGUUGGUGGUUUUGGCUGUCCAUGGGAUUUUCAGCAUUCUUCGAUACAGCCACAUCUCGAAAGCUUCGAGCCUUUUUGUUGCUGUUGUUGUCAGUGUCCACGUCUCUACUCCGUACAGCAAAAUUGACCAGAUGUAGCAUUUCAGUGUGCGCAGUUUCAGUGAUGUACUCAAGUUGCGGUCUGCAAGGAGUGUUUUCCAUUUAAUAAAUGCUUGCCUUGCUUGUUCAAUUCUGCUCUUGAUUUCGACUUCAUGGUUCAACUGAUCGUCAAUGAUUACACCAAGGUAUUUAAAUCGGUGUACUUGUUCCAAUUUUUCGCUGCCCAGCUUGAUUGUUGUUUCGCUUGUAGUUCUGCUGACCUUCAUAACCUUUGUUUUCUUUUUGUUAAUUCGUAAACCCCAUAUUUGACUCUCUGCGGCAACCGCGUCCAAGAUUUGUUGCAGGUCUUGUUCCGAAUCGACCAGCAGUGCAGUGUCGUCGGCAUACCUGAUGUUGUUGAUGUAUUGUCCAUUGACUUUAAUACCAAUGUUUUUGUCUGCUCGUGUUCGAUCAAAAAUCUCCUCCGUGUAGAUGUUGAAAAGAAUCGGUGACAGUGGGCAGCCUUGUCGUACACCUUUUUGUAUUGGUGUUAGGUCUGUCAAUUCGUUGUCAUAUCGGAGUUGGGCUGUUUGCUUCCAAUAAAGAGCAAUGAUGAAGUCAA